rnacentral:rRNA from 1 species
ACAUUCCCACAAAAUAACGUUAAUGCACCGGAUCCCAUUAGAACUCUGCAGUUAAGCACACUCAAGCUAGAGUAGUACUGGGAUGGGUGACUGCCUGGGAAGUCUUAUUGUUUUACAUGCC